AUAUGUGUAGACUAAUUAAGUCUGUGAAUUUACAAUUCAAAAAUAAUUUUAAAUUUACGUAA
rnacentral:tRNA from 1 species